UACGUAGGGGGCAAGCGUUGUCCGGAUUUAUUGGGCGUAAAGAGCGUGUAGGCGGCUAGAUAGGUCCGUUGUGAAAACUCGAGGCUCAACCUCGAGACGCCGGUGGAAACCAUCUAGCUAGAGUCCGGAAGAGGAGAGUGAAUUCCUGGUGUAGCGGUGAAAUGCGCAGAUAUCAGGAAGAACACCCGUGGCGAAGGCGGCUCUCUGGUACGUGACUGACGCUGAGACGCGAAAGCGUGGGGAGCGAACAGG
rnacentral:rRNA from 1 species